rnacentral:lncRNA from 1 species
ACCUCUAUUUUUCCAUUGCAGCUGUGUAGGACAGUCUUUGAAGACAGCUUUAUAAUUGGAGGACGAGGGUUCCCUUAUCACCUGGAAGACUUUGAUGCAUACCCUUGUCUGCCUCAGAAAUCUGAUCUCUAUAAAAAGACUCAUAAGGAAGCACCGUGGUACCAAAGUGAAGCUGAUGUCUUUAAUCUGUUUAAGACGUUGCGCAUGAAAAUAUUAACCAAUACUAAAAUCAAGAAACCAGUUUCAUGUAUAAAACGAGACUUUAAGAAAAAGAUGUUGUCCAGCAAAGACAGUAAAGUUGACAACUAUGUUGGCCAUGCUGAUUCUGUACCUCAGUCAGAUGACACAGA